GGAUGUGAGGGCGAUCUGGCUGAGACAUCUGUCACCCCAUUGAUCACCAUGGUUGAUUCGGCUGACCUGGCUGGCUAGGUGGGUAUGCCCUUCCUCCCUCACUGCUCCAUGUGCAUCCCUCCUGAAGCUGCGUGCUAGGACGAAGAGGACGGCCUUUCUCAAAUAGAGAUGGACCAUUGAGGGUAUAUGAGUACCUGUGCUCCCCUGCUAGAACCUUCAACCAAGCUCUCAAGGAAAUGCUGUAUAAACUUGUAUCACCACACCAAAUGAUGUAGGACCCCUUU
rnacentral:snRNA from 1 species